UGUAUUUUAGUUUUUCUCCUUUUCUGUUUUUUAGGGUCUUUUUUGAGGAAGAUUAGCCCUGAGCUAACAUCUGCUGCCAAUCCCCCUCUUUUUGCUGAGGAAGACUGGCCCUGAGCUAACAUCCAUGCCCAUCUUCCUCUACUUUAUAUGUGGGACGCCUGCCACAGCAUGGCUUGCCAAGCGGUGCCAUGUCCGCACCUGGGAUCUGAACCGGCGAACCCCAGGCCGUCUAAGCAGAAUGUGCGAACUUAACCACUGUGCCACUGGCCCAGCCCUCCUUUUCCAUUUUUUAGAAAACAGAUUAAUAUUUUCUUCUUUCGGUUUAAAAAUCAUACAUUUUAUUUUUAUGCUUAUGGGUGUGUUGAUAAACCUAAUCACAUCAGAAGUCACUCCAGGAGCAUUCUGCAUGGUCAGCAAAGAAAGCCUCGAGUCGAGCACCUGCCAGGGCUAAUCCACAGCAGGAACACUUUGUAUGUGGAGCACUAAGAAUUCGUCCCAGAGUAUACGUGGUUCCCAUCUUCAAUGCGAUGGAUGCCCCCAGAUGAGCGCCUCACAACUUCAAUACCAAAAUAUUGCUGCAUCUAUUUUGUAUAUGAGGAGAGACGAGAAGGAAAAAGAGAAAAGCUCUGAUUUCUUGCUAUGCUCUUGCUGCAUUGUUUACGAUGCGGACUCUUCGGAAAGACAGAGCCAUGGUUCCCGCGAUGAGCGGGCGGCAUGCAGAGCCCGCUCUGUGGGAAUGUCCUUUUCAAGGGCGACAAUGGGGAACCACAGAACAAACCUGGUGAAAUCACUCAGCCCCGGAGCGUCAGCCUUCCAAGUUGCUUCAUAA
rnacentral:lncRNA from 1 species